rnacentral:rRNA from 1 species
CGCGUAGGUGGAUGUUUAAGUCGGAUGUGAAAGCCCCGGGCUUAACCUGGGAACUGCAUUCGAUACUAGGCAUCUUGAGUAUGGUAGAGGGAAGUGGAAUUUCCGGAGUAGCGGUGAAAUGCGUAGAUAUCGGAAGGAACACCAGUGGCGAAGGCGACUUCCUGGGCCAAUACUGACACUGAGGCGCGAAAGCGUGGGGAGCAAACA